rnacentral:rRNA from 1 species
UACGUAGGGACCAAGCGUUGUCCGGAAUCAUUGGGCGUAAAGAGCGUGUAGGCGGCUUGUUAAGUCUUGCGUGAAAUCUCGGGGCUCAACCCCGAGCGGUCGUGAGAAACUGGCAGGCUAGAGUGCGGGAAAGGAGAGUGGAAUUCCUGGUGUAGCGGUGAAAUGCGCAGAUAUCAGGAAGAACACCCGUGGCGAAGGCGGCUCUCUGGAACGCAACUGACGCUGAGACGCGAAAGCGUGGGGAGCAAACAGG